UCUUGAAAAUAUUUAUAUUUUUGUCUAUACCAUUUAUUUAAAAAAAAUAUCAUUUCUGGUCGCCUCGCUUCAAUGAAGCCCUCGCCUCACCUCCUCGCCUCGCGCUUAGGCGUUAGGUGACCUUGUCGCCUCGGUUCGCUUUUCGCCUUAAAAAACACUGGAUGUAACCUUUCUGGCGUUUUUAGUACGAAGUACCACCAUUAAUUUGAACACACAUUUGCUCAAUUGAGCAUGAGCUUCUACCAUUGCAGCAAGCAUUUGUAUUGCUAACAGUUCAUUAACUAUGACCAUAAGCAAAAUAGUCAAUGGAUUGCUUUUGUAUCUUGCAGAAUCUAUGCAGAUCAAAAAUGUCUUGCAGAAUCUAAAGAAAGGAAUAAAGUUUUAAAAAGCAUGAAACCCUUGUGAAGGAUUAUUGUUGUUUAUAAAAUCUUAAGGUAGACAAGUAGGGGACAACCAAAAGAAUAAAAAAGGGAAACUUGCAAGGCAGGUUUGUUUUGCAACUAAUAAUUUAUGGGUUACUUACACUACUUAUCACAAAACAAAAAGUAUGGGUAACACUAAAUACCCUUAUAAUUUGAGCGUUGUUUCAAUUUUAUUUAUGCAGUUUCAGUUGCAACACAUUGGAUCCUAAUUUUUCAAAUAAUUCUAGUGGGUCCAACUGUCAAUCUUUGCUAGAGAUUUUGACGGGUUAAGGACUUAUGACUAGCACAUGGCCUUAUAUCCACCAUGAUAUGUGGUACCCUCCGGUUGUGCCAUAUCAUCACAUCAUGGCUUCCUCAACAAUGCCACAUGCCACUUCCGGCUAAUGGACUAGUGGACCAAUCACCAAGUUGAGCGUUUCAAAUCAUGCUCAACCUUACCCAAGCUUGGGAUUGUCUAGCUCGAUCACUUGGUUCACUAGCAACCACACCAAGCAAGUCAGACCCCCUCAUGCUAAUGCUAGCCAUCAACCUGCUCAAUUGCCAAGCUCGCCAACAACCCCACCAAGUUAGAUCUUCAUCUUGAAGACAAUUCCACUAUUAUCUGGGCUGGGAACAGAGCCUGUGAAUCACGCUUGAAACCAUUAGAGGACUUGGAUUGGAGGCUAGAAUUCAAGGUGAUGAUGUGAAAGAAAAGAAGCCUGAUCCUUCAAUAUAUUUGACAGCUGCCAAGAAGCUAGGCCUGUCAGCGAAAGAACGUUUGGUGGUGGAAGAUUCUGUCAUUGGGCUACAGGUCAAUCUCUUUGCUUGUGAUAAUUGCUUAAAACCUUAAUUUUAAGGUCAAAGAGUUUUAAGACCACAUUGUGAACAAUUGAAGAAACUGGAAUUUAUUCUGUAAAUCAUCUUCACGUCAUGAAAUUCUGGCUGUGACAAGUGCUGGGAUGUCAUGUGUUAUUACUUACACAUCAUCGACAAGUAACCAGGAAUCGUGGAAUGAUAUGACUUUGUUAAUUUAUAUGGGAUUUUAAAGAUGCAAUAGCAAUCUACCCCGACUUGAGUAACGUUAGAUUAAAAGAUUUAGAGUCGUUGCUUGAGAAUGUUGUCGCAGCCACUUAGAGAAUCUGUUUAUCAAAAAAAUUCUGGUGGGUUGUUGAGCAUUGGUUGCAGACAAGAAAUGCAACAGGGUUAGUUGCUCCGGCUAUUGUUGCGGGUUUAGGUGCGUUAACACAUACAUUGGGCACUCUCAUCCCUGUGAUAGGAGCAAGUGGAUUUACUACAACUGCAACUGUUAUAGAACUAUUGUCGGUAGUUUUAGAUAAUCUCUUAAUAGUUGUCGAUAUGUUUAGAAAGUUAGAUAUGCAUAGUUUUGGAUGGUUUAAACUUUUUGUACAGUUUAGAACUGAAGGGUAUAGUUUUCGAAUGUUUGGAAUGUAUAGACAAUUGUUGAAUGUUUAUAAUUUAUGGAUAUAGUUUCUUUUUGA